AGCAGCCGCGGUAAUUCCAGCUCCAAUAGCGUAUAUUAAAGUUGUUGCAGUUAAAAAGCUCGUAGUUGAAUUUCGAGAUCAGUACGCUGGUCGUGCCUUUGGUAUGCACUGGUGUCACUGGUUUCUCCCUUCUGAAGAACUGUCAUGCCAUUCAGUUGGUGUGGCGGGGAAUCAGGACUGUUACUUUGAAAAAAUUAGAGUGUUUAAAGCAGGCUCGCGCUUGAAUACAUUAGCAUGGAAUAAUGAAAUAGGACGUUUGACCCUAUUUUGUUGGUUUCUAGGAUCGACGUAAUGAUUAAUAGGGAUAGUUGGGGGCAUUAGUAUUCAAUUGUCAGAGGUGAAAUUCUUGGAUUUAUUGAAGACUAACUACUGCGAAAGCAUUUGCCAAGGAUGUUUUCAUUAAUCAAGAACGAAAGUUAGGGGAUCGAAGACGAUCAGAUACCGUCGUAGUCUUAACCAUAAACUAUGCCGACUAGGGAUCGGAUGAUGUUAAUUUUUAAUGACUCU
rnacentral:rRNA from 1 species